ACAGUGGAUGUAUUUCAAGACCAAUCAGAGGCGGUUGCUAGGCUGACCAAAAUCUCCCGGGCAAUCAGCGUUUUUCCGCCAAUGUUAGAUGACGUAUGUCGUCAUUGGCAGCGACGUGCCUCGUCAUUGGCUAGGAGCUUCUGAGAGGCGGAGAAACUAAGUCAGAAAACAAAUUUAAACCACGUCUGAUACGUUAGUUCUGUUUGCCAGUGCUGUGAGAGAAACGUCAUUACCAACAAGGUCUGGAUGCUAAAACAAACUCUGGAAUUGUUUUUGUCGUUAAUGAAGAGACCUGGAUGCUAAAACAAACGCUGGAGUUGACUUUUUGUCGAACACGAGUGAGACUUGACGCUGAACACACCUGCAGCGCGAAGGUUUACUCCUUCAGUUGCUGCAGCCUGGACAGAAACCAGCUCUCACCUUACAAACCAAACAGGUGUCACCACUUUGUCCACGAUCAGUCUUUGUAUGAUGAAGUUCUUUGAAACCAGGACAGAGGCCUUCAGGAUUCACACAUCAACCAUUAAAUCAUGGAGUGAAAAGACCGAUGUAAAGACAUUUCCAAAAGGUCUUCGGCUGCUGACGUCUUCUCCUCCUGCAGAGACAAGAACACGUGUUAAUCACAGACACUGGUCAAUAAAGGAUUUUUUCCUUCCUGAACUGUCCCAACUGUACUAACCCUAAAUUUUAGACUUUUUUAAAAAUGGUUUUUGAUGUCUUACUAAGACAUGCGGCUUAAGACAAAGAAGUGAUCUCAUCUACACCGUAUUUGUGGGUUAGGUUAAAUUUUGUGUUUGUCAUUUCAUUUUGGUAUUUUGCUAUUUCAAACAGUGCAGUAUCAGUACUCAAAUCCAAUCUAUUACUGUGUACAUAGUUCUAUUUAUAUUGUUUAUAAUUUUUACAUGUUGUUAUAUUUCUCUUACUCAA